UACGAAGGGGGCGAGCGUUGUUCGGAUUUACUGGGCGUAAAGGGCGCGUAGGCGGCGGGUCAAGUCGAGUGUGAAAGCCCCGGGCUCAACCUGGGAAUUGCGCUCGAGACUGGUCUGCUUGAGUUCGGGAGAGGAGCGUGGAAUUCCCAGUGUAGAGGUGAAAUUCGUAGAUAUUGGGAAGAACACCGGUGGCGAAGGCGGCGCUCUGGACCGAGACUGACGCUGAGGCGCGAAAGCGUGGGUAGCAAACAGG
rnacentral:rRNA from 1 species